AGCGAACGCUGGCGGCAGGCCUAAUACAUGCAAGUCGAACGGUCUCUUCGGAGGCAGUGGCGGACGGGUGAGUAACGCGUGGGAAUAUGCCCUUUGGUACGGAACAACUGAGGGAAACUUCAGCUAAUACCGUAUGUGCCCUUCGGGGGAAAGAUUUAUCGCCAUUGGAGUAGCCCGCGUUGGAUUAGGUAGUUGGUGGGGUAAAGGCCUACCAAGCCUACGAUCCAUAGCUGGUCUGAGAGGAUGAUCAGCCACACUGGGACUGAGACACGGCCCAGACUCCUACGGGAGGCAGCAGUAGGGAAUCUUGCGCAAUGGGCGAAAGCCUGACGCAGCCAUGCUGCGUGAGUGACGAAGGUCUUCGGAUUGUAAAGCUCUUUUGGCGGGGACGAUAAUGACGGUACCCGCAGAAUAAGCCCCGGCUAACUUCGUGCCAGCAGCCGCGGUAAU
rnacentral:rRNA from 1 species